ensembl:rRNA 5S_rRNA 5S ribosomal RNA
GCUUACGGCCAUACUACCCUGUCUGCGCCUGAUCUCGUCUGAUCUCGGAAGCUAAGCAGGGUCGGGCCUGGUUAGUACUUGGAUGGGAAACUGCCUGGGAAUACCAGGUGCUGUAAGCU